UACGUAGGGUGCGAGCGUUGUCCGGAAUUACUGGGCGUAAAGAGCUCGUAGGUGGUUUGUCGCGUUGUUCGUGAAAACUCACAGCUCAACUGUGGGCGUGCGGGCGAUACGGGCAGACUGGAGUACUGCAGGGGAGACUGGAAUUCCUGGUGUAGCGGUGGAAUGCGCAGAUAUCAGGAGGAACACCAAUAGCGAAGGCAGCUCGCUGGGACGUUUACUGACACUGAGGCGCGAAAGCGUGGGGAGCGAACAGG
rnacentral:rRNA from 1 species